UCGCCACCGCUUUUAUUUCCUAUCAACCAAACAUGCAUUCGCAUUCAGGAUUCUUCGCCGGAUAGAGGCUCUCAUUGUUAAAUUGUCCAGAAAAACCUUGAGAAAAGAUAAUGGCGAGUAUUGCGGAUAUUAGUCUUUCGGCAGCCAUCAAUCUGUUGUCUGCAUUGGCAUUCCUGUUAGCCUUUGCAGUAUUGCGACUUCAGCCCUUUAAUGACCGGGUCUACUUCCCAAAAUGGUAUCUGAAGG
rnacentral:sRNA from 1 species